GCCGGAGGAUAACCAAACUCUGAUUUAACGACGUUUCUUCUGAGUGACACAAGCAAAUAAUCAAAACUUUUAACAACGGAUCUCUUGGUUCUGGCAUCGAUGAAGAACGCAGCGAAAUGCGAUAAGUAAUGUGAAUUGCAGAAUUCAGUGAAUCAUCGAAUCUUUGAACGCACAUUGCGCCCGCCAGCAUUCUGGCGGGCAUGCCUGUUCGAGCGUCAUUUCAACCCUCAAGCUCUGCUUGGUGUUGGGGCUCUACGGUUGACGUAGGCCCUUAAAGGUAGUGGCGGACCCUCUCGGAGCCUCCUUUGCGUAGUAACAUUUCGUCUCGCAUUGGGAUUCGGAGGGACUCUAGCCGUAAAACCCCCAAUUUUACUAAGGUUGACCUCGGAUCAGGUAGGAA
rnacentral:rRNA from 1 species